GACUUCGUAGCUCAGCUGUUAGAGCGCUUGCCGUAUUUGGGCUCAUUGUUUCUGCGGCUGGUUCGAAUCCAGCCGAAGCCU